rnacentral:rRNA from 1 species
UACGUAGGGUCCAAGCGUUAUCCGGAAUCACUGGGCGUAAAGCGCGCGUAGGCGGCGUGUUAAGUGUGAUGUUAGAUCGUGUGGCUCAACCAUAUCGAUGCAUCGCAUACUGGCAUGCUAGAGGAAGGCAGAGGCAAGUGGAAUUAGUAGUGUAGCAGUGAAAUGCGUAGAUAUCAGGAGGAACAUCCGUGGCGAAGGCGGCCACCUGGACCAGUACUGACACUGAGGCACGAAAGCGUGGGGAGCAAACAGG